GCAGGAUGGCUGAAUGGUUAAGGUGUUGGACUUAAGAUCCAAUGGGUUAGUGCCUUGUGGGUUCAAAUCCCACUCUCAGUA
rnacentral:tRNA from 1 species